AGAGUUUGAUCCUGGCUCAGGAUGAACGCUAGCGGCAGGCCUAAUACAUGCAAGUCGAACGGUGAUAGCAAUAUCAUAGUGGCGCACGGGUGCGUAACACGUAUGCAACCUACCUAUUAUUGGGGGAUAGCCUUUGGAAACGGAGAUUAAUACCGCAUAAUACGAUUGACUGGCAUCGGUUGAUUGUUAAAGCUUUGGCGAUAAUAGAUGGGCAUGCGUCCAAUUAGUUAGUUGGUUAGGUAACGGCUGACCAAGACGAUGAUUGGUAGGGGAUCUGAGAGGAUAAUCCCCCACACUGGCACUGAGAUACGGGCCAGACUCCUACGGGAGGCAGCAGUAGGGAAUAUUGGGCAAUGGGCGGAAGCCUGACCCAGCCAUGCCGCGUGCAGGAAGAAGGCGUUAUGCGUUGUAAACUGCUUUUUUAUAGGAAGAAGGAUCCCUUGCGAGGGAAGGUGACGGUACUAUAAGAAUAAGCACCGGCUAACUCCGUGCCAGCAGCCGCGGUAAUACGGAGGGUGCAAGCGUUGUCCGGAUUUAUUGGGUUUAAAGGGUGCGUAGGCGGUUUAUUAAGUCAGUGGUGAAAGACGGUCGCUCAACGAU
rnacentral:rRNA from 1 species